UACGUAGGGGGCAAGCGUUGUCCGGAUUUAUUGGGCGUAAAGAGCGUGUAGGCGGCCUGGUAGGUCAGCUGUGAAAACUCGAGGCUCAACCUCGAGACGCCGGUGGAAACCAUCAGACUAGAGUCCGGAAGAGGAGAGUGGAAUCCGUGGUGUAGCGGUGAAAUGCGCAGAUAUCAGGAAGAACACCCGUGGCUAAGGCGGCUCUCUAGUACGGUACUGACGCUGAGACGCGAAAGCGUGGGGAGC
rnacentral:rRNA from 1 species